GAUGAACGCUGGCGGCACGCUUAACACAUGCAAGUCGAACGAGGUCCAUGGAGCUUGCUCCGGAAGACCUAGUGGCGAACGGGUGCGUAACACGUGAGAAAUCUGCCCCGGACUCUGGAAUAACAGUUGGAAACGACUGCUAAUACCGGAUGCCUUCAUUUGGCCGCAUGGUCGUUUGAAGAAAGAUUUAUCGGUUUGGGAGGAUCUCGCGGCCUAUCAGCUUGUUGGAGAGGUAACGGCUCACCAAGGCAUCGACGGGUAGCUGGUCUGAGAGGAUGACCAGCCACACUGGAACUGAGACACGGUCCAGACUCCUACGGGAGGCAGCAGUGGGGAAUCUUGCACAAUGGGCGAAAGCCUGAUGCAGCGAUGCCGCGUGCGGGAAGAAGGCCCUAGGGUUGUAAACCGCUUUCAGGAGGGAAGAAAAUGACGGUACCUCCAGAAGAAGGUGCGGCCAACUACGUGCCAGCAGCCGCGGUGACACGUAGGCACCAAGCGUUAUCCGGAUUUAUUGGGCGUAAAGAGCUCGUAGGCGGUUUGGUAAGUCGGGUGUGAAAACUCUGGGCUCAACCCAGAGAGGCCACUCGAUACUGCUAUGACUAGAGUACGGUAGGGGAGCGGGGAAUUCCUGGUGUAGCGGUGAAAUGCGCAGAUAUCAGGAGGAACACCAGCGGCGAAGGCGCCGCUCUGGGCCGUAACUGACGCUGAGGAGCGAAAGCAUGGGUAGCAAACAGGAUUAGAUACCCUGGUAGUCCAUGCCGUAAACGUUGGGCACUAGGUGUGGGUCUCAACCAACGAGAUCCGCGCCGUCGCUAACGCAUUAAGUGCCCCGCCUGGGGAGUACGGUCGCAAGACUAAAACUCAAAGGAAUUGACGGGGGCCCGCACAAGCAGCGGAGCGUGUUGCUUAAUUCGAUGCAACGCGAAGAACCUUACCUGGGUUUGACAUGUAGGGAAAAGCUCUAGAGAUAG
rnacentral:rRNA from 1 species